CACACACACACACACCGUGCCUUUUUGAUGUCCUCAGUGUCUGAAUGUCCCAUGUGCUCUGCUCUUCCCUCACAGCUCUGACAUCAGGCUGGAGUCAGAUCAGGCCCAGGCUCCAGACAUGGUUCUCUGAGUAGAUAGGUAGGUGGCCUGACCACAGCACUAGACUGAGACAAGGUAAGGGUGGUCGGGGUCCUCUUUUGCCUUCACCGUCCCUCACCGCAAAGGGCUCUCCAGCCUCUGCCACUUGAUGGUGUGGGCCUGAGGGCAGUGGCAGGAGAAGCACCUGGAGCUUAACCCAGCAACUCAGAGUCUUAGGCUGGAGAGAUAGUUCACUUCAUCUGAUUUUGUUCAUUCAUACACUCAUUAAAUGGGACUGUGAUUCCUUCCUUCCUUCCUUCCUUCUAGAGUUAGUUAUUAGCAUGAGAGAGGUAGAGGGAGCAAAAGAGAAGAACCAGAACAUUGCUUCAACAUAUGCGAUGCCAGGGACUGAACUGGAGAUCUCAUGCACACGAGCCCAGUGCGCUAACUACUGUGCCACCGUGUGCUCCAGGACACCACUCCUGGCCACUUGUUGAUUCAGAGAGGCAGGAACUGAAGAGUCCCAACACUCCUGGUCAUAGUACCUCCCAUGUGGUGUCAGAGCUGGAGGCUGGGUCGCAUGCAUGGGUAAGCAGACGCGCUAUCUGGUGAGCUAUCUUUCUGGCCCACUAUUAUUAUUGUCAUCAUUGCAUUUCUGUAUUUAUUUAUUUGUUUAUUUUACCCAAGCACUGCUCAGCUCCGGUUUAUGGCCGUGUCAGGGAUUGUACCUGCGACCUCAGAAGCUCAUGCCUGAAAGUCUGUUGCAUAAACCUCUGUGCUACCCCCCAACCCUCAUUACUACUUUUACUUUUCAUUAUUUAUGAUUAUUACUUACCAGAGCACUGUUCAGCUCUGGUUCAUGGCAGUGCUAGGGAUUGAACUUGGGCGUUUUGGAGCCUCAGGCAUGAAAGUUGUUUUGCAUAACCAUUAGGCUGUCUCUCUAACCCCUUCAUUAUUACUUGUUAAGUUUUGUAAUUUUAGUUCUUAAGUUUAGGUUUUUCUGGGGAAAAAAACCAAACCAGUAGAUGGGAGAGGCUGGAGAUGAAACUCAGGACCUACUUCAUGCUUACAAGUCUGAGUGCUCCAACCCAGGAAGUUGCACAGUGGAAUAGAAUCAAGGGCUCAGAAAUAAAUGUCUAAGAGCUCUCUUACCCAGUAGAGCGCAGACUUCACCAGGCACAAGGAUCUGAUUUCAGAUCACGGUGUCACAUGGAGGCACCAGAGAUGGUUAAAUGGUUCUGUGGUCUUCUUCCUCCUCAGUCUGUCUCUCUGUCCCCCUCUAUAUGUUCCUAAAAUAAGAAGAAUGAAUUAAAGAAUCUUGAUAUGAA